rnacentral:lncRNA from 1 species
UAUUCUUCAGUCCCUACCAGAUUUCUUUUCACAGUUCAUAAUAAAUUUUAAUAUGAAUAAGCUUAAGGUGACUCUCCUAAAGCUCCUCAAUAUGUUGAGGGAGGUAGAGAGUACUAUUAAAAAGAAGCUAGUUUUCUACAUUGGUGAAACCAGAAAGAAAAGGAAAUCAGAAAAGUUCCUUAAGCAGGGCAAGGGCAAGAG